rnacentral:rRNA from 1 species
AAAGGUGAAAAGAACCCCUGUUAGGGGAGUGAAAUAGAACCUGAAACCGUAUACCUACCAGCGGUCGGAGCCCUAUUCAUGGGGUGACGGCGUGCCUUUUGCAUAAUGACCCGGCGAGUUGGCGUAGGCGGCAAGGUUAAGGAUUAGAAGUCCGAAGCCGAAGCGAAAGCGAGUGCGAAAUGUGCGAUACCAGUCGAGUGCGCCAGACCCGAAAUCAGGUGAUCUAACCAUGGGCAGGUUGAAGCGGAUGUAACAGUUCGUGGAGGACCGAACGGGUAAAUGUUGAAAAAUUUUCCGAUGACCUGUGGUUAGGGGUAAAAGAUCAAUCAAACCUGAAGAUAGCUGGUUCUCCCCGAAAUAGCUUUAGGGCUAGCCUCAGGUGUUUCGCGACGGGGGUAGAGCGACUGUUCAGGCUAGGGGGGUGCAUAACCUACCCUACCCAGACAAACUCCGAAUACCGUCGUUGAUAGCCUGGGAGUCAGACUACGAGGGAUAAGCUUCGUGGUCGAGAGGGAAACAGCCCAGAUUGGCAGUUAAGGCCCCUAAUUCAUGCUCAGUGUAUGUAAGGAAGUGGGGUUGCAUAGACAGCUAGGAUGUUGGCUUAGAAGCAGCCAUCAUUUAAAAAGUGCGUAAUAGCUUACUAGUCGAGCAACUCUGCGCCGAAAAUGAACGGGACUAAGCAUGAAGCCGAAACUCCAGACUACACACAAUGAUGUGUGUAUUGGUAGGGGAGCGUUGGACGAGCGGUUGAAGCCGGAGGGUAACUACCGGUGGACGUGGUCCAAGUGAUUAUGCCGGGAUGAGUAGCGAGAAAGCAGGUGAGAAUCCUGCUCGCCGUAAACCUAAGGUUUCCUGGGCAAGGCAAUUCCGCCCAGGGUUAGUCGGCCCCUAAGGCGAGGGCGAAAGCCGUAGUCGAUGGAGCAGCAGGUUAAUAUUCCUGCACCACUGUUAGCGUUGAAAGAGGAGUGACGGCGGGUUGAAGUGCGGCCAGUUAUUAGUUCUGGUUGCUGAGCUGGGGUGGCGGAUAGGAAAAUCCGUUCGCGUAAUCUCCGGCUCGGGUGGUAACCGCGUGGAAGUCCGUCCAAGAAAACCUUCGCUGGAGCGAAGCAGUGACCGUACCAAAUCUGACACAGGAGGGUGAGGCGAAUAGCCUCAGGCGCUCGAGAGAACCUUACGUGAAGGAACUAGGCAAAUUAACCCCGUAAGUUAGCGAUAAGGGGAGCCACCGCGAGGUGGCCGCAGGAAAACGAUGGCUGCGACUGUUUACUAAAAACACAGGUCUCUGCGAAGUCGUCGAAGACGACGUAUAGAGACUGACGCUUGCCCGCUGUUGGAACGUUAAGAUGAGUGGUUAGAGCAAUCGAAGCUGCGAGUCGAAGCGCCAAUGAAGGGCGGCCGUAACUAUGACGGUCCUAAGGUAGCGAAAUUCCUUGUCGGGUAAGUUCCGACCCGCACGAAUAGCGUAACGACAGCCAUACUGUCUCCACGAAGGACUCGGCGAAAUUGUGGUCGUGGUGAAGACGCCACGUUCCCGCACCAAGACGGAAAGACCCCGUGAACCUUUACUAUAACCUAAUACUGGCUCUAGGUUUGUCAUGUGUAGAAU